CAGAAUCUCAGGCCAGCCAGGGGCUGCAGGCUGUUAGCAGUUUGAGGUCAGCCAGGGCAGCUGACAGGAGUUGGCUACAGGUGUGUCCCAGACCAUGAACAUCACCCUCAAUAUAAAAGGGGAAGCUUGCCAAGGAUGGUGCUCUUUCUGACCCUGUUUUUCUUCUUUCUCCUUCUCCCAAGGAUUGCUUUCCUGUUUGUUGUGGCUGCUGUAUGCUCUCUGUGAACCUCUUUAAAUGCACUUGGUGCAAGUGCCUGUCAAAUGCUGCUGAAUCCAGAGCUGGUGGGAUCUUGACAAACCCUGCAGUUCAUACAGCACUUGAGCUAAGUGCAGAAUGUUUCAGAAUACCUCACCAAAAGCUGGCAUCCCUCAUAGAGACAGAUCUGUUGACUUCUAAGAUGAAUCCUCCUGAAGACCACCUGAAUGCUCCCUGUAUCUGGAUAGAUUUGCUUCGAAGGUGAUUGGACUUGAUGAACGUGAAACAUCCCCUGAGGAUGGGGCAAACUGACUGUCACUCAUUGGGACCGCCUUGGUGGAUUCAGGAGGUUCUCAUAUCCACAAUAGGAAAAACUACUGGAGUUUUUCUACUUUCAUAUCCACACUAAGUAAAACAACCUCAGUAAUCAAGCAAGUUUGAAAUCCUUCCUGAAACACAAACUAUGAUCAAGCACAACAGAAUCAACUUCAAACAAAAUAUACCUGAGAGCUGAUAAAAAUACUUUCCAAGCAUUGUCCUUUAUCAUCAAACAAAAGAGCCUGCAAUGAAAAAGAAGGAAUUUUAAUUGAUUGUAUCUGAUAGAUUAACUAGACUGACACUGACAGUCCAGCAGCAGGUGAUAUUAAAUCCAGAGGUUAAAUUAAAUCCGAGGAGUUCACCUUAUUUCUGCCAGUUCUAAUCCUCAGAAUUCCAUCUUGCCAGGUUUUUGAUUUUUUCAUUUUUUGGUGUGUGUAUAAUACCUGUUUU